GGUGUGGCUCAGUGGUUGAGCAUCAGCCUGUGAACCAGAAGGUCACGGUUCGAUUCCCUGUCAGACCA
rnacentral:tRNA from 1 species